rnacentral:rRNA from 1 species
AUACGUAGGGAGCGAGCGUUGUCCGGAAUUACUGGGCGUAAAGGGCGCGUAGGCGGCGCUUCAAGUCGUCUGUCAAAUGGGAGGGCUUAACCCUUUUUCGCAGACGAAACUGGAGAGCUUGAGAAGCAGAGAGGCAAACAGAAUUCCUGGUGUAGCGGUGAAAUGCGUAGAUAUCAGGAAGAAUACCAGUGGCGAAGGCGGGUUGCUGGCUGCAUACUGACGCUGAAGCGCGAAAGCCAGGGGAGCGAACGGGAUUAGAGACCCCGGUAGUCCUGGCAGUAAACGAUGUAUGCUGGGUGUGAGACUAGCGAUAGUUUCGUGCCGAAGUUAACGCGAUAAGCAUACCGCCUGGGGAGUACGGUCGCAAGAUUGAAACUCAAAUGAAUUGACGGGG